CAGACGUAUAUUGAUUUUCCGAACACACUUCAUAACGACAAACAUAUAGUUUGAAUUUAGCAUUUAAGAGUUUUUGAAUACUUAAUUUAAAUUAAGAUAAUGCAAUAACAAGGCAGCAGAAUCAAUAGGAAAACUGCAUUAAUAAACGUAACAAAAAUGAGCCAACGCCAAAGUUAACCUCAAAUAUUCGAACGCCGAACACAACAAUAAGAGCAUCAGGUAAAACACCAAAGAAUUCUCAACUGGAGCACGAGCAGACACGGAGAGUUGCCUUAAGAUUUGAGCUUUAAAAGGAAAGCCUGCGAUCACGUCAACAUGUCCACAGCAUCGUCUCAGCAACAGCAGCAGCAGCAGCCGGGGGCGAAGCUAAAGCAGAAGCAUCGCUCAGCCACGGAGGAGAGCAUGUCGCCCAAGAAAAUGGGCAUCAUUGCGAUUGUGACCGUGGUUGGCUGCAUUGCCAUAUUAUGGCCAAAAGUAUUCCAUCCCAUGAUGUUUGGCGGAGCGCCGCCCAAGCCAAGCUUUAAGGAUCAGCCCCAGCGCGGCGCACCUGGCGGUUGUUGUGAUGUCGUGCUUGACAGGGAGCAGUUCAUGAACGCCUCAAAGCCGGGCCUCGAGCCGUUCGGGCCUCAUUUGUAUCGCAAGCAGAUCAACUUGUACACGGGCGAAAUAAGUCUGCGUCAGGAACGGCCAGCCCACCUGCAUCCGGAGUCCAUAUAUCAGGCGAUGCGUGAGCGGGGCCGCGCAAUACCAGCCACGCCCACCGUUCCGAUAGUCGAGCGCAAGAGUUCGCCGAGUAACCCACCGCCCCGCAUCGUUGACGGCCGGCCUGGACCCAUACCUGGCAUGCGACCGCCAAUGGGAGCGGGUGCCUUUCAUCAGCCUCAGCAGCGAGCCGGCAGCAGCAUGGGCUUCCUGAUGCCGCUCUAUACCAUUGGCAUCGUGGUGUUCUUCGGCUAUACGAUUAUGAAGAUUGUAUUUAAGAAGCAAGUACCAAAUGCGCCGUAUGGGCCCGUUCCAGCGGAUCCAAGCUUCCGCCAAGAAGUUUUUGGCCAACAGAAUCACAGCCAGGUGGAGGAUUUGGGCGGCACCAAACUGGGUUGGCGCGAGCAUCAGACAAGAACUGCGACGAGCGCAGCGAACGGCAGGCGCAACGACAAGGAGCUCUACAAAGCCACCUUGUCGGCCACGGAAAUGGCCACCAAUUUGUCCAGCACGCUGAAGGCGCACCAGCAACAGUGCCACGGCCAGGCAAUAGCCCCUAAGACGCUGGCCGAGGUGGAGAAGUCGCUGUUCAAUAAGGAAACGGAGCAAUUAAUGGAAAUUGAAAAGUUGCGCAAGAAACUCGAGGACACGGAGCGAGAGAUGGCAAAAUUAAUUGCCGAAAUGAACACCGAUCAGUAUGAGGCAAAGAUGAUUGCUAUGAAGUUUCUCAAGCGGCAGCCAAAUUUCUAAUGCAACCAACAUUUAUUUACCGCAUAUAUAAUACCAAAUCACAGAAAUAGACCAAACUAAGUACAAGUCAUAACAUCACGACGACAACGAAAAAACGAAUUUGACAAAUGUAGAAAACCAGAACAUUUCCAAUGGGCAUACAACUAACGAUCAGGAGCAGAAU
rnacentral:misc_RNA from 1 species